UUUGAUAGAGCAGUAAUCAAACUUGACUUAAGAGCGCUUUCAUACAGCGGGGCAGUGUACAAGGAUGUACACUGCCGGCAACCGGACAAGGAUGUCCGAUUUGCCGGGCACCCCGCCCUCUCACCAGCAAGCUCUUAAGUCUUAGUUUGAUCUGCGAGAGCAAG
rfam:Desulfosporosinus sp. OL contig00013, whole genome shotgun sequence.